AAAUUAAGAAAAUAAUGAGAGUGGGGGCUGGGGUGGUUCAGUUGGUUGAGCGUUUGCCUUGGUUCAGGUCAUGAUCCCACUCCCAGAAGUUCCUACAGGCGGGAAAUACAAGAGGUAAGUACUGCUGUGUGGUCACAAGUGAUAGCAUUUCCUGUCCUGAAACAUCAACUGAAUUUGUUCAUCAACAAAUUCCAUCCUUUCUACUUUACUUACUUUAAAUUUACUUUCAGUCUCUAUGAGGAGAUUUGCUUUUUUGGUUUUGUUUUGUUUGUUUUAAUUUUUUUGUUUUCUUUACAGGAGAGCCCUUUAAUUACAGAAAAGGAAAUAAGCAAAAACUUGGCAACAUCAGGAUAUUAUUGGAGAAAGGUGUCUUUUCCAUUACCAUCGAUAACAAUGACCAUCAGCCUAUGUUUGACUUUGAUCCCUUUGGUGAAGUCUUCACAUAUAUAUUAUAUCUUGUGUGUCUCUUUGUUCUCAGCCUCAAUUUAAAAUAUAUUAAAGUUAUGUAAAACUUCUGUUAUAUUUUAAAACUUCUGUAUAUUUUAAACUGAGGCUGAUUUGGUUUGAGAAAAUGACAUGCUAUUUACAAUUGCAGUUUAAUAUUUGCACCCUGAUGUGUCUGAAGAACAGAUGUCAGAAGUAGAAACUGUUAAAGAAAAUAGCCUUUUAAACAUGCCAAGUUAAAUUAAAAAAAGAUCAAGCCCAUGAUAGAACAUUAAUGAUGAAAUACCCAUGGUAACUUUCUUUCUUCAAAGAAAUAGUGUAUAAAGAGGUGCCCAUGAUAAUACCUAGCUUUAAAAACCAUGCAGAAAUCGUUGUAUAACUAAAGCUCUGUUUUGGUUUGCAUGGGUUGAUACGUUGGUAUUUUUCCCUCUUCCAUUUUCUUUUUUCUAUACCCCAAUCUUUUACUACUGAAUUUGUGGUGACUUUGUGAUAAAAUUUAGCAAUUAAAAUAAAA
rnacentral:lncRNA from 1 species